rnacentral:rRNA from 1 species
UACGGAGGAUCCAAGCGUUAUCCGGAAUCAUUGGGUUUAAAGGGUGCGUAGGUGGGCAGGUAAGUCAGUGGUGAAAUCUCCGGGCUUAACCCGGAAACUGCCAUUGAUACUAUUUGUCUUGAAUACCGUGGAGGUCAGCGGAAUAUGUCAUGUAGCGGUGAAAUGCUUAGAUAUGACAUAGAACACCAAUUGCGAAGGCAGCUGGCUACACGAAUAUUGACACUGAUGCACGAAAGCGUGGGGAUCAAACAGG